rnacentral:rRNA from 1 species
CACGUAGGGGACGAGCGUUGUCCGGGAUUCAUUGGGCGUAAAGCGCGCGUAGGCGGCUCGGAAAGUCGGGCGUGAAAUCCCUCGGCUCAACCGGGGAACUGCGUGUGAUACUGGCGGGCUUGAAUUCGGGAGAGGGAUGCGGAAUUCCAGGUGUAGCGGUGAAAUGACGUAGAUAUCGUAAAGGAGACCAAGUGGCGAAGGCGGGUCGUCUGG